rnacentral:rRNA from 1 species
UAGAGUUUGAUCCUGGCUCAGGAUGAACGCUGGCGGCGUGCCUAAUACAUGCAAGUCGAGCGAACAGACGAGGAGCUUGCUCCUCUGACGUUAGCGGCGGACGGGUGAGUAACACGUGGAUAACCUACCUAUAAGACUGGGAUAACUUCGGGAAACCGGAGCUAAUACCGGAUAAUAUAUUGAACCGCAUGGUUCAAUAGUGAAAGACGGUUUUGCUGUCACUUAUAGAUGGAUCCGCGCCGCAUUAGCUAGUUGGUAAGGUAACGGCUUACCAAGGCAACGAUGCGUAGCCGACCUGAGAGGGUGAUCGGCCACACUGGAACUGAGACACGGUCCAGACUCCUACGGGAGGCAGCAGUAGGGAAUCUUCCGCAAUGGGCGAAAGCCUGACGGAGCAACGCCGCGUGAGUGAUGAAGGUCUUCGGAUCGUAAAACUCUGUUAUUAGGGAAGAACAAAUGUGUAAGUAACUAUGCACGUCUUGACGGUACCUAAUCAGAAAGCCACGGCUAACUACGUGCCAGCAGCCGCGGUAAU